ACUCCUACGGGAGGCAGCAGUGGGGAAUAUUGCACAAUGGGGGAAACCCUGAUGCAGCCAUGCCGCGUGUGUGAAGAAGGCCUUCGGGUUGUAAAGCACUUUCAGUAGGGAGGAAGGUAGUGUAGUUAACACCUGCAUUAUUUGUACGUUACCUACAGAAGAAGCACCGGCUAACUCCGUGCCAGCAGCCGCGGUAAGUACGGAGGGUGCGAGCGUUAAUCGGAAUUACUGGGCGUAAAGCGCAUGCAGGCGGCCUGUUAAGUCAGAUGUGAAAGCCCGGGGCUUAACCUCGGAAUUGCAUUUGAAACUGGCAGGCUAGAGUCUUGUAGAGGGGUUAGAAUUUCAGGUGUAGCGGUGAAAUGCGUAGAGAUCUGAAGGAAUACCAGU
rnacentral:rRNA from 1 species